UACGUAGGGUGCAAGCGUUAAUCGGAAUUACUGGGCGUAAAGCGUGCGCAGGCGGUUCGCUAAGACAGAUGUGAAAUCCCCGGGCUUAACCUGGGAACUGCAUUUGUGACUGGCGGGCUAGAGUAUGGCAGAGGGGGGUAGAAUUCCACGUGUAGCAGUGAAAUGCGUAGAGAUGUGGAGGAAUACCGAUGGCGAAGGCAGCCCCCUGGGCCAAUACUGACGCUCAUGCACGAAAGCGUGGGGAGCAAAC
rnacentral:rRNA from 1 species